rnacentral:rRNA from 1 species
GACGUAGGGCGCGAGCGUUUGUCCGGAUUUAUUGGGCGUAAAGAGCUCGUAGGCGGCUUGUCGCGUCGAAUGUGAAAACUCGGGGCUCAACUCCGAGCUUGCAUUCGAUACGGGCAGGCUAGAGUUCGGUAGGGGAGACUGGAAUUCCUGGUGUAGCGGUGAAAUGCGCAGAUAUCAGGAGGAACACCGAUGGCGAAGGCAGCUCGCUGGGACGGUACUGACGCUGAGGCGCGAAAGCGUGGGGAGCGAACAGG